CAAAAGAAAUGUCUCCCUCAGGCUGGACGGAAGCAGCAGAGCCUGUUUGCGACAAGCCUGCCAACUAAGCCUGUCGGAAGGAGCUGGGUGGAGUAGGUGCUCCGAGGGCCGAUCCGAUCCCACGGGGAAAUCUGGCAGCACCCUGGAACAGCAGCUCUCAAACCUGACACAUGUUAGAGGCACCUGGGGAACUUAAAAUCCCAAGGCUCAGGCCACCCACUAAGCAGAUUGCAUCAGAUUCUCCGGGGGACGACCCAGGCAGGCAUCAGUCAUUUGAAAACUCCCCAGGUGACCCCAGUGCGGCAUCCUAGGGAUGCUCAGCUCAUCGCCUUCGGAAAGACACUGACUACCCGUCAAGAGGAGACUGAAGUUUGCUGGCCCUGUUUGAAUCGCAAAACAAAGGUAGCCACCACGGUCAAGUCCAGCCUUCUGAAACCUGGCGGGUCCCUCAGGUGUUUGGGUGUGGCUGCAGAUUUCUGUUUGACACCACCUUGAUGCUGCGCGUGGUAGCCGGGCCCUUGGGGAUGCUCAUCUUGCCCAGGGCCAACCUAGAGGUCAGACUUAGGGCUUCAGUGCAGUCCUUCUAAUUCAGUUUCACAAAGAGAAUAUUCAUCCCCAAGCACCACCAAGUAAUGUGUAUAAUAUUUUCCAGGUGCUGACCAUGUGCUAGGUGCCGCCUGAGCUCUCUCUGAGUUCUUUCAAUUAUCAGUCUCACAAGGUGGACCCUGUUACCGCCCCUGCCGGGAGUGACUGGGGGAGCUGAAGCAGGCCAAUGACACAGUACCAAGGUCACCAAGUCCCUCAGCAGACAGUUCAGCCCCAAAGUUUCCCUCCUGCUGCCAGCCACCCCAUUUCUGCUCACACACCGUCCCCUCACCAGAGGAUUAAAUUUCUCUCCUGUCCGGCUUGCAGAGAGCCUGCCCGGAAGAAUAAAAGGCACUUCGUUGGGCUAUUCACUUCUCGGAAGGGACUGAGGUAUAAACCGCCACCUUUAUUGAAGAUAACUAAGAUGGAAUCCACAGACUAAGAAAAGCAGGAUGGUGUGGGUGCAGAGUGAAAAAGCGACCAGUGUCAGAUCUUUCUGGUGAAUCAGUGGCUACCAACAUGGUGUCACCGAAGCCCGCUCUAUGCAGAUAAUUCCCGGGGCCUGAUCCUCCCACCUUCAGAAUAAAUUACACGGGGUAACACCCUGGGUAUGCAGGAAGCCACCGUUCAAAUGCAGAAAGACACCUGCCAUUCAUUCAACAAGUAUUAAAUUUUCACAGCUGGGGAGGUACACACAGACAUGAGCCUGCAUUAAGGAGUUUAUAACAGGCUCUGCUGGGUAGAGAGGACACCACGAGGAGCAGGAAUGCUUGGUUAGUUGAGUCUCGUUGAGGAGUUUGCCCGUUGUCUCUCAGCAGGACUCUGGGGGAACAGGACACCAGAGGUGAGGAGGAGGGACACGUUUGGCCCAUGAGACAGGGAUUAUUAAGGGCACUGAUAGCCCUGGGUGGGCUGGGGACCCUCCGUGCAUGGGUCGGGGGUGGAGGGGGGUUAGUGGAGAGUGGAGACUGAGAACCCUCCAUCUAAGCUCAGUGGCUCAGCCCACCUGGGGCAGCCCUCAGAGAACCUGAACCCAGCAAGACUGGGACGUCCCUGGGGGAAGUCGUUCUGGAAGACCAAGAUUUCCAGAGAGCAGAAGGUCUGCCCUGUGUGUACAAAGCCCCAUGACUUUCUUUUGAUUUUAAUUGUUUGGGAUAGAAAUAUUCCCUAAAUAUCCAAGACAACAUUUUCAGUAGCUUCACAGUCUUCUCUUUCUCCCAUGCUUUUUUUUUUUUUCCCAAGCAGCAGGACCUUUUUGAUUUUCCCCAUCCAAAGUCUUGCAAAUACUGAGCACUCCUUUUUGAAUCAGAGAUGGGAAGUCACAGUCCUGCUCAGGGGCCUCCCCUGCAUCCCUGUGCCACCCCUGGGCAGAACCCCGGGGCUCCAAAGAACACAUAUGAAAGCAUAUGUGGUGGAAACAGCACUGGACGGCCAGUCAGAAGUCCUGGAGGGAAGCCUGGCCCUCCCGCUCACCAGGCACGUAAGCCGAGGCCGGCCUCUUAGCCACACUAAGUCUUAGUCUCCUCAUCUAUCAAAUGGGGGACAAUAAUAUGAGCCCUGCCUUUCCCUUAGGAUUAUCGUGGGAACCAAAUGAUAAUCAAAUAUGUGGACAGUACAUGCACACUUGAAAGUGCUCCCCCCUCAAGGUCCUGUUGUCCUUCACGUUAUACACAUCACUGACUGCUUAAAAUGCACUGUGAUUUAACAUCCUUUCUGCAGGGUCAAGAAUUUGAACAUCAUGGUUCUGAGCCAUCACACACUGCAGCUCUCAGAAAUCAAAGGGAGGCAGAAGCCCCUUUCAAGAGCCUGAUGCCUGUGACUCUUUGUUCUUUGUGAUGUUGGCCUUUCUAUUUUUCCCCGUCUCCUUCCUCGUCAGACUACCGGCUGUCACUUCCCUCCACUCUAAGGGUGCCUGUCUACUCCCUGGUUUGCUGCCUCUGAUCCACCGUGGACUUGACAACCGGAUAAUGAAGUUUAUGAGAGCUGCGUGUGAAGUGAGGGUACACAGACUCAGGCAAAAUGUACAAUAAACUCCAUGUCCGGGCUACGCACCAUCUGUUCAGCAGCCAAGGAUCCUUUUGACUUCCGUUUUGCCUGUGGCUCAGAUGAACGAGGCUGUAAAACAGAGGAACUGCUGUUCUCACUCCUGAGCUCAAAACUUCUGCUCAGCUUGGGAGCCGCCAGCCAAUCCUCACACGUGCUGUCCCACUGCAGGACCCCACAGGAGGACCCUAGAUCAAAGCUGAGGUGACAAACAGGUGUCCUUGUGCCAAGUUCUCUGACCCCAGGUUCUGGCUGCCUUUGGUUCUUUGGGUUUCAUCCUUGCCGCGAGCCCUGCUCUGUUCCACCAAGUAAUAAGAAGAGCUCCCAUUUCUUGAGGGCUUCCCACCCCUGCCAGGCGCUUUGCAUUCUUGAUCUCAGUUUAUCCUUAACACACCUGGCUAAAAUAGAUGCUGUUAUUUCCUUCUUACAGGUAUGAAAACUGAGCUCAGAGAGGAUGGGUGACUUGCUCAAGGUCACAUAAGUUUUAAGAAGUAGAAUCAGGGCUGGAACCCUGACUGCUGCUCUUCAGAGUUCCCUCUCCUGGGCUCUCAACAGUGAAUCCAAGGCCCUGCUACAUCCUGGAUGUCCAGAGUCUCUCUUACAAGAGGCAAGUGAGUGGUCAGCACCAGAAACCUCACACAUACCUUUUAGCCUGUGGAGAACAGGAAAGAUGUCCUCCGGAGAGCAGGAUUGGGGUGCAUCACCAGGACUGGGGGAGGCCCUGCUCUGGAUGAGAAAACCCAAGGCCCAGGCUACAGGGAGAGAAGAGUCAGGUGGUGUGGUUUCUGGAGCAGCAGGGAGGUUGCCUGAAAAACACGAGGCCACCUGCUGGCUGAUGCCUGAAAAUUCCUUAACCUGGGAUUCAACCUUCUCUUUCACAGUCGAGAGUAAAACUUAAAACAGAAACAUCUCCCAAUUCUGUGGCCAUACAUUAAAAUUCAUGCCAAAGUGUAAAUGACUGAUACCAGCUCCCUUUUUAAGAUCCAUGGAGGGUUUUGAGAGAAGGAAGAGGUACCCAGUGGUGCUCCUGUGGGCAUAAGGAAGGAUGGGAAAGACAAUGGGGGACAGCAAACUGAGAAUGGAAGCUCUAAUGUGGGCAAAAGAAUGCAAGAGGGGAGACUGAGAGAUUACCGGAUCUACCAACUCUGCAGUAUUGUCUAAAACUGGUCCUGGCUUCAGAUAGUCUCACUCUCUUAAAACAUGGGAGACAUUCUCUGCACAAAGGUGCACUGGGCCUGCUGAAAAUCUUUAAGUAAAAUCCGAGAAUGAUUUAAAAAACCUAUUUUGCAAAGGAAUUCUUCAGGCUUUUUUUUUUUUUCAAUGCUCUGACUUGAAGAUGAUUGGUUUUGGAAAAUUGCCUCUACUUGAAUGCCACAUGGGCAUUUAAAUGACAACGUGUCCGUAGGAGAUUCCAUAUAUAGGCAGAGUAGGCUCUUAUAAAUAAUAUGCCCUAGGAUCUAUUAAGUUCAAUGGCACUGCUUUUCAUAACGUUUCUCCAUCAGAAAACAAAAUGUUAAAUUUCAACUGACCAGGAAUCCUUUCUUAAUAAAUAUCGUUAAGUCAAAUUCUUGCUCCUUCUCUAUGUCUUGCCCUUCCUGGACAUGCUUUGCCUUCUUGCAAGACAGAUUUAUACUUUAGUUUUUAAUUGCAAAAGUGGUAGAGGUUUGUUUAAAAAAUUUUCAGUCAUUAAAGCAAUAAGCUUUUAAGUGAAAAUUAUUCCUUGAUUCUCAAGAUACCCCCCAACCCCAUUCUCUAAAGGGAAUAGCAACUUAGUGUAAUUCCUUCUUCCUUCCCUCUCUCCAUCCAUACACAUAUACUUUCUUUCCAACAAUGAAAUAAUUCUAUUAUGUUUUACUUUA